CCUCCAAGAUACAAUUCACUUGCUCAUACCCUAGACAAAUGAACAGAACUGGUGUCAGUAUUCUGUGCUCCUGAGACACCUGAGCUCAUCUCCAAGGACUUUCUACCACU
rnacentral:lncRNA from 1 species